rnacentral:misc_RNA from 1 species
UAAUCCAGCAUCUUUUGAUUGAGACUUUGGUAAAUGUGCACCAAAGCUUGGGGACUGAUAUAGUGCACACGCGUGAGUAUGUUUUGGGAAUGUUAAAAUGAUUCUAUUUAAUUAUGAACCUUUUCAAGUUGAAACUUAGUGCGGUGCUGUAUGCAAAAAGAGGUUCCUUCUGUAACCAUGCCAGAUGCAGUUAGGAUGGUGCUGGUACAUCCUGAGGUUUUCUUGGUGUAUUAUGAUCUUUGAAGAACUGAAAUUAGUGAUGCUAAGAGGUUUCCUGAAAAUUAGACUUUAACAUUGGUAAUUCUUCUUUAACAAUCUGUAUAGUUCCUGAUCAUAUGAAAUUAGUUAACAUAGGUGCUAGCACACUUGCAUUAGCUUCUUCCUCAAACUAAUUUGUAAUGAAGAUGUAUUUUAAUUUGACGUUAAUUUUGGUGUUUAUAAUUUAACUUUACAAAUUGAAAGCCACCUUUAUUUCAAAUGCAAACCUCUCCAAAUG